CCAGUAGUCAUAUGCUUGUCUCAAAGAUUAAGCCAUGCAUGUCUAAGUGCAAGCCAAAUUAAGGUGAAACCGCGAAUGGCUCAUUAAAUCAGUUAUGGUUCCUUAGAUAAUACACCAAGUUACUUGGAUAACUGUGGUAAUUCUAGAGCUAAUACAUGCAAACAGAGUUCCGACUCGAGAGGGAAGGAACGCCUUUAUUAGAUCAAAACCAAUCGGCCGCCUUAAAAACGGCCGCACACACGUUUGGUGACUCUGAAUAACCACUAAGCAGAUCGCAACGGUCUCGCACCGGCGACAAAUCUUUCAAAUGUCUGCCUUAUCAACUGUCGAUGGUAGGUUCUGCGCCUACCAUGGUCGUAACGGGUAACGGGGAAUCAGGGUUCGAUUCCGGAGAGGGAGCCUGAGAAACGGCUACCACAUCCAAGGAAGGCAGCAGGCGCGCAAAUUACCCACUCCCGGCACGGGGAGGUAGUGACGAAAAAUAACGAUACGGGACUCAUCCGAGGCCCCGUAAUCGGAAUGAGCACAACUUAAAUACUUUAACGAGUAUCCAUUGGAGGGCAAGUCUGGUGCCAGCAGCCGCGGUAAUUCCAGCUCCAAUAGCGUAUAUUAAAGUUGUUGCGGUUAAAAAGCUCGUAGUUGGACUUGUGUCCCACGCCGUCGGUUCGUCGCCCGUCGACGUUAACCGCACGGUCAAUACGCAUAGUGGGACGUCCAGCCGGUGAGGUGCCUGGUCGUCGGCCGGGCCGGCCGGGCGUUGCGUCGCCGCGCGUCGUUCGUGACCACCGGUUCGUCCGGAGUCCGGCGGCGUCGCGCGUGGCGCUCGCUCGCGCCCAAGCCUCCGACGGUGCCGACCUCAUGCUACUCGUCUCGGUGCUCUUAAUCGAGUGUCUUGACGGGCCGGCUCGUUUACUUUGAACAAAUUAGAGUGCUUAAAGCAGGCUCACCACGCUUGAAUAUUGUGUGCAUGGAAUAAUGGAAUAGGAUCUCGGUUCUAUUUUGUUGGUUUUCUGAACCAGAGAUAAUGAUUAAUAGAGACUGACGGGGGCAUUCGUAUUGCGACGUUAGAGGUGAAAUUCUUGGAUCGUCGCAAGACGAACCGAAGCGAAAGCGUUUGCCAAGAACGUUUUCUUUAAUCAAGAACGAAAGUUAGAGGUUCGAAGGCGAUCAGAUACCGCCCUAGUUCUAACCAUAAACGAUGCCAACUAGCGAUCCGCCGGUGUUCCUCCGAUGACCCGGCGGGCAGCUUCCGGGAAACCAAAGUGUUUGGGUUCCGGGGGAAGUAUGGUUGCAAAGCUGAAACUUAAAGGAAUUGACGGAAGGGCACCACCAGGAGUGGAGCCUGCGGCUUAAUUUGACUCAACACGGGAAAUCUCACCAGGCCCGGACACUGGAAGGAUUGACAGAUUGAUAGCUCUUUCUUGAUUCAGUGGGUGGUGGUGCAUGGCCGUUCUUAGUUGGUGGAGCGAUUUGUCUGGUUAAUUCCGAUAACGAACGAGACUCUGGCCUGCUAACUAGUCGCACCGCAAACGACAUCCGCAUUCGUGCUGUCGGCGACCGUAUAUAAACUCUUCUUAGAGGGACAGGCGGCUUCUAGCCGCACGAGAUUGAGCAAUAACAGGUCUGUGAUGCCCUUAGAUGUUCUGGGCCGCACGCGCGCUACACUGAAGGGAUCAACGUGUGUUCAACCCUCGGCCGAGAGGUCCGGGUAACCCGCUGAAACCCCUUCGUGCUAGGGAUUGGGGCUUGCAAUUGUUCCCCAUGAACGAGGAAUUCCCAGUAAGCGCGAGUCAUAAGCUCGCGUUGAUUACGUCCCUGCCCUUUGUACACACCGCCCGUCGCUACUACCGAUUGAAUGAUUUAGUGAGGUCUUCGGACCGUCGCGCGACAGCGCACCCGAGUGCCUGCCGAUGUCGACGGAAAGAUGAUCAAACUUGAUUAUUUAGAGGAAGUAAAAGUCGUAACAAGGUUUCCGUAGGUGAACCU
rnacentral:rRNA from 1 species